UACGAAGGGGGCUAGCGUUGUUCGGAAUUAUUGGGCGUAAAGGGCGCGUAGGCGGUGCGGUAAGACUGUGGUGAAAUCUUCGGGCUCAACUCGAAGCCUGCCGCGGUGACUGCCGUGCUGGAGUGUGGGAGAGGUGAGUGGAAUUCCCCGGUGUAGCGGUGAAAUGCGUAGAUAUCGGGAGGAACACCUGUGGCGAAAGCGGCUCACUGGACCACAACUGACGCUGAGGCGCGAAAGCUAGGGGAGCAACAGG
rnacentral:rRNA from 1 species